GCCACCUCAGAAGCCUUGUCCACAGCUGAGUUCUUGGCCUGGGUAGGAAGAUAUUUUUAAGCAGAAAUUCUACUGGGGAUGGGAGUACAACAAGCUCAGUUGGCUGAAGAGGAAAAGUUCUGGGUACUGCUCAGCCUCAAGUAAAGAAAAGCAAGAGCCUCCAUGGGUGUCUACGAGGGCUGCAAGGGACAAUGACUUUGCAAAGCAUUGAGAAGGAGCACCGUGUUCUCCUGUGCCGGCUGUUUUCAGCCCUGACUGCACACUGCAGCCGUGUGAGGAGCUGAGGUACAAGUUUAAUAGACACUUGGGCCAAGGCACAGGGAUCUGGAGUUGGAAAAUACCCAGCUAAUUCUGAUGCGACUUUGGGUGAGAAUCUCUGAGUUCUAGCUCGAAUCAUCUACAGCCUCCCUGCAACUAAUACCUAACAUCUCCACUCCACCCUCUCCCCUGGGGCCCUGGCAAUGCUGCUUAUCUUUCUUUCAAGGUGCUGGAGUCAAAGAACUGGACUGGAAGGUAGCCAGAGACCAGAAGAAGCAGUCUGAGACCCAAAACAGAGAUAUCAUUUUGCCUACGAUAUGCCAAUGAGAAAACUAUGGUCAGAGAAAUGAAGGAACUUCCCCAGAUCACUCAGCUAGAAAGUGGUGGACAGUAUUCAAAGCCCGAUUGUCUACAACCACUGCCAUCCUGAUGUUCCGCGGGAAAUGCCAGAACUGUGACCUAGGAGCCUCACAGUCGUCUAAUGGAACGCCCCACUCCAAGAAGACAAGCGCAUCCUCCUCCCAUCAAGGAGGAAAGCGAGACUCCCAAGAGAAGCAUCUUGGCCGAAAGGAAGUCUCAGGCAAGUAACAGCAGGGACCAGACUUGGAAUCCAGGUGACCACAAGCACAAAAGCUGACCACCUCUAGCUGUGGUAAUGGGGAGUCACACCCUGCAGGCGUGGUGGGCGCGGCCAACACCGUACCAACCGCCUACGGAGCAGCCAGAGGAGGCACAGGGGGCACGGCUGACCCCAUCAGGUAGACGCUCAUAGGUGAGCAGCAGUACAGGUGAACAAAGUGGAGUCCUGUGGGCAGCGUCUCUAAAACUGAGGACUGGGCGACUGAAAUCGAGCAGAGCUGGGGCCACCACAACAUCCCUGUUUCCAGGGAAGUGGGUAGAAGAGCCGGACUCUCGGCGGCCUCCCUGGAGGAACUGAAGCCGAACCCAACCCUGGAUCCGGUGUAGGGGUCAUCAAAGGAGUGUGAACCAUCCCAAACCCUCCCUCCCCCAAUUCCGGAGCCACCAGCUCCAUGCCGAUCACUCACCCAGAACACGGUGGAAUAGACGAUGAGAGAGAACUUGAGCCAAAGGUAGGAGAA